GGUCAAGUUAUUAAGGGUGCAGGGCGGAUGCCUUGGCACUAGGAGCCGAUGAAGGACGUGAUAAGCUGCGAUAAGCUUCGGGGAGUUGCACGUAAACUUUGAUCCGAAGAUUUCCGAAUGAGGAAACUCACUUAGAGUAAUGUCUAAGUAUCAUUAAGUGAAUACAUAGCUUAAUGAGGGGAACUCAGGGAACUGAAACAUCUAAGUACCUGAAGGAAGAGAAAGAAAUUCGAUUCCGUAAGUAGCGGCGAGCGAACGCGGAUUAGCCCAAACCAAUAAAGUUUUCUUUAUUGGGGUUGCGGACAUAUCAUAACGAAGAGGUAUCGUAAUUGAAGAGGUUUGGAAAGACCCACCACAGAAGGUAAUAGUCCUGUAUGUUAAACGAGAAGACUUUAGAUAUGAUCCAGAGUACCACGGGACACGUGAAACCCUGUGGGAAGCAGGAGGGACCACCCUCCAAGGCUAAAUACUACCUAGUGACCGAUAGCGUAUAGUACCGUGAGGGAAAGGUGAAAAGAACCCCGGGAGGGGAGUGAAAUAGAACCUGAAACCCUGCACUUACAAGCUGUGGAAGCACAUUUCUUGUGUGACCGCGUACUUUUUGUAGAACGGGCCAACGAGUUACGUUAAGUAGCAAGGUUAAGCACUUAAGGUGCGGAGCCGUAGCGAAAGCGAGUUUUAACUGAGCGUUCAGUUACUUGACGUAGACCCGAAACCGGGCGACCUACCCAUGAGCAGGAUGAAGCGAAAGUAAAAUUUCGUGGAGGUCCGAACCCACGAGCGUUGAAAAGCUCGGGGAUGACUUGUGGGUAGCGGUGAAAUUCCAAUCGAGCCCGGAGAUAGCUGGUUCUCCCCGAAAUAGCUUUAGGGCUAGCCUCAAGGUGAGAGAUACGGAGGUAGAGCACUGAAUGUCCUAGGGGGUAUUGCACCUACCGAAGACUAUCAAACUCCGAAUGCCGUCAUCUUAUACUUGGGAGUCAGACUGUGGGUGAUAAGAUUCAUAGUCGAAAGGGCAACAGCCCAGAUCGUCAGCUAAGGUCCCUAAAUGUAAGUUAAGUGGUAAAGGAUGUGGGAUUGCACAGACAACCAGGAUGUUGGCUUAGAAGCAGCCACUCAUUCAAAGAGUGCGUAAUAGCUCACUGGUCGAGUGAUCCUGCGCCGAAGAUUUCCGGGGCUAAAACUUACUACCGAAGCUACGGCAUCAGUAAUGAUGGGUAGGGGAGCUUCCCAUACGGGUUGAAGCAUGACCGUAAGGACAUGUGGACAGUAUGGGAGUGAGAAUGUUGGCAUGAGUAGCGAGAUGUGGGUG
rnacentral:rRNA from 1 species